UCCCACUAGCAUAGACAAUACACCAGCCUACACAGUGAGACGAGGAAGGGAGGAUAAAAAAAGAUUAUCAUCAUCUUCAGAGAGACGCCAUUUUGAGCUCUCUUCUUUUCUUCUUUUCGCAAUUCACGCACAAGAAACCACCAUUAACAUACAAUUUUACACAUAAAAAAUCACACACCAGGAAAAUAGAGACUCUAUUUUUCCUCUCUCUUCGUCAUAAGCACACGUACACAGUGAGAUGAGGAAGAUAGGGAGAGUAGAUCAGUGGAAAAAAUGGCGUGAGAGAGAAAUGAGAUAAUGAAAAUUUGGGACGAAAUAGGAAGAUCGAGAAAAGAGAGUUGAGAUCGAGAGAGAGAAGGGUAACACGGAGCUGAGGGAACACAAGUUUCGUAGUUUGGUUCCUGUUCCAACGAUAGAUUCACCGAAAAUAGAUCUAAGCCAUCACAAAUCCGUUCAAAACCUAUCAAAAUACGUCACCACUGGUAUUUCUUUGUCAAAUCGGUCAUCGCCUAAGUUUACUGGAGUUACGGUGACACAAAACAGUCAAACAAGCCUCGAACUGCUUUCGAUUCCAUCCAAACCCGUUGGAAUCGAGCUGGAUUUCUCUUAUUUCUCACGAUUUUAAGUUCGAGGUUGGGCGGGUUCAUCCAAAUCUGGUCCAGGUUUCUCUGUUUUGUGAUCUUAGUUUUGAGUUGGACGAGUUUGUUCGAUUGAGGUUCAACUUGAGGUUUCUGGGAGCAGACUCUCUUUAUCCGAGUAACACUGAAUUUAAAAAAGCAUCAAAUUGAGACUCCGGAUACUCUCUGUUGGCUAUUGCUACUCUCCGUCGGCCAUUGCUACUCUGGUGUCUAUGGUCGGUCAUUGCUACUCCGGCCAGGUAAAUGCUUCUCUCUUUAACCUCAAUUUUUUAUUUUUGUGUGUGGUUUUGUCGAUGAGAUAUUCGGACACUUGCAUUUUAAUUUUCAAUGCUAAUUUACUAGUAAUUUCAAAGUCUUAUUUAUGAUAGAUUGUCAGAACUUCAAUGAAAAUGGAGUAUGGCAUAAAAGAUGAACUUCAAAGUUUCAUAUGUUUUUAGGGAAUUUGAUGAUUCCUUUGUUCGUGGCAAUUGAUGAAGAGGAGCUUGUUUGUAGUCUUCUUAAGGAUUUGAUUGUUUUAGCUGGUAUAAAGGCCAAGUAUUUUAGUGUUGAAAUUGGUGUUGUGAUUUGAGGUUAGGCUAAAAGUUAAGGAAACUUGUUAUUGAGUUUGUGGUUACUGUUGCUGAAGAUAGAGAGAGUGGAUGUGAGAUGAUGCAGAUGGUUCUGAACAAAGAAGUUACUAAGUUGCUUCUUGUGUUGAUUGAUAUGUUGGUGCAUAUUGGAGAUGACCCUUGUUGGGGAGACGCGAUUAACGAUGAUGGAAAUGAAGGGGAGUUGAGUAUGUGUAGUUAUGGUAAGGAGAGUUUGGGUAGGUUAGCAAUUGUAUUAGGGGGAAGUGUAAUUGUGCCUAAUUUGCCUUCGACGAUUUUCAACUUUUUGGAUCAUGAAGAUUGGCAAAUUCAUUAUUCUGUUGUUACUGCGAUUGGGGUUAUAUCGGAGGGUUGUUCAAAGGUGAUAGUAAUAUGCUCAAAGGAUAUGAAGCACCUUGUAGAGACUAUAGUGAAACUAAUCUUUGAUAAUCACCCUCGUGUGCGAUGGGUAGUGAUUCAUGCAGUUGGUCAGCUAUCAAUACAUAUAAGCCCGCAGUUUCAAGAACCAUAUCAUUAGCUGGUUCUUCCAGAUUUGAUAACAAUAUUGGAUGAUUUUGAUAAUCCCAGGUUGCAGGUAAAUUCUUGAUGUGAUGUUGAUGUUUCAAUGUUAUAGCAUCUUGUUAAUGACAUAUGACCGAUGUAUUGACUCUUUGUUCUCUAGUUGAACAGUUAUAUAGCGUGGCAAGUACAUGUCGUUGCCUACUAAUCUUUCUUGUUUGAAUAGGCACGUGCAACUUUAACGAUACUGGUGUUCAGCCACAAUUGAAGUGCAGAUAUUUUGAAACCUUACCUGCACAAUAUAGUGAGUAAACUAGUCGUGUUUCUACAGAGUGGAAUGACAAUGAUGAACGAAGCAGCUCUGGAAACUUUAGGCUCUUUAGCUAUUCAAUCACAGCUGCUACUAGUGAUACAAGUCAAACGCUCCAUGCCAAAUACUUGGGAACGCAUUACCAUGAUUACAAUAGAGGUUGGAAAUCUAGCAAUCGUUGAUCUUGUUGCAAAGGUCGCUGCCGCACUCGUUUCGCUGCAAGAAACUCAUAUGGAGGAAGAAGAUCCAAUGAGGUGCCUUUUGUUACAAGCAUGGGGUAGACUAUGUAAAUGCUUAGGGGCAGAUUUCAAUAUCUACCUGGGCCUACAUGUUAACUGGAUAAUAAAAUGUGAAAGUUGCUAAAGGGAAAUACAACAGGCACUUGUAGAGAUUGGUGACAAAGAUCCUUCAUUUAUCGGGUCAAGUGAAUGGAUUGGAGCCAUUGAAUUGAGUUUUGUUUUGGAUAAACUAAUUGGACUUAGUUACAAAAUCAUAAAUGUUAGAUCUGGAGCUGAACUUCCUGAAAAGUGUCGAGAAUCGGCGUUGCAUUUUGAGAAUCAAGGAACUUCUGUCAUGAUUGCCAAGUGAUGCGGCUAGUGGAUUCAUUUUGCCCAUGAAUGUAAGGAUAUCACGUGAUGAUAAUGAUCCUAAUGACAUUCCUCGAUUUCGUUGCAUUUGUCUUGGAUAUUCAAUUAUGAUGAUGUAAUUGUGUGGUUGGAGUAAAUCUUAGAAUAUUAAAGGUUUUGUGUUUAAAUUUGACUUUGUAGUUUGAAGAUACUAGUUAAUGAUGAAAAUUUGGAUUUUGAAGAUGUUAAUGUUGAAAAUUUAAUUUUGAA